AAAAACUCCAUUUUCCCCAUUACAUUGACUGAAAGCAAAAAAGGAGAUUUAUCUAGGGUUUCUGAUUUGCAAUUUCUCUCACAAAUCUUCAGCAGAGAUCAGAUAUGGCGUCGCAAGAGUAUUUGAACAAGAUGCAGGUUCGACAGAAUUAUCGCAACCUUUGGCACACUGAUCUUAUGAGCACAAUCCAAGCUGAUACUCCUUAUUGCUGCUUUGCUUUGUGGUGUGGACCAUGUGCAUCAUAUUUGCUUCGGAAACGAGCUCUCUAUGGUGAUAUGACAAGGUACACAUGCUGUGCGGGUUAUAUGCCCUGCAGUGGUCGUUGUGGAGAAAGUCGUUGUCCUGAGUUUUGUUUAGCAACUGAGGUUUUUCUCUGCUUUGGAAAUUCAGUGGCUUCCACCCGCUUCAUGUUGCAAGAUGAGUUCAACAUACAAACAACGCGAUGUGAUAAUUGCAUUAUUGGUUU
rnacentral:misc_RNA from 1 species